CACCUACGGGGGGCAGCAGUGGGGAAUAUUGCACAAUGGGGGAAACCCUGAUGCAGCAACGCCGCGUGAGUGAAGAAGUAUUUCGGUAUGUAAAGCUCUAUCAGCAGGGAAGAAGAAAGACGGUACCUGACCAAGAAGCCCCGGCUAACUACGUGCCAGCAGCCGCGGUAAUACGUAGGGGGCAAGCGUUAUCCGGAUUUACUGGGUGUAAAGGGGGCGCAGACGGCAGCGCAAGCCAGGAGUGAAAGCCGGGGGCCCAACCCCGGGACUGCUCUUGGAACUGCGCGGCUG
rnacentral:rRNA from 1 species